UACGGAGGGUGCAAGCGUUAUCCGGAUUCACUGGGUUAAAGGGUGCGUAGGUGGGCAGGUAAGUCAGUGGUGAAAUCUCCGGGCUUAACCCGGAAACUGCCAUUGAUACUAUCAGUCUUGAAUACCGUGGAGGUAAGCGGAAUAUGUCAUGUAGCGGUGAAAUGCUUAGAUAUGACAUAGAACACCAAUUGCGAAGGCAGCUUACUACCCGAAUAUGACACUGAGGCACGAAGCGUGGGGAUCAAA
rnacentral:rRNA from 1 species